rnacentral:rRNA from 1 species
CAGCCGCCGCGGUAAUACGUAGGUGGCGAGCGUUGUCCGGAAUCAUUGGGCGUAAAGGGAGCGCAGGCGGGCAUGUAAGUCUUUCUUAAAAGUUCGGGGCUCAACCCCGUGAUGGGAAAGAAACUACAUGUCUUGAGUACAGGAGAGGAAAGCGGAAUUCCCAGUGUAGCGGUGAAAUGCGUAGAUAUUGGGAGGAGCACCAGUGGCGAAGGCGGCUUUCUGGACUGCAACUGACGCUGAGGCUCGAAAGCCAGGGGAGCGAACGGGAUUAGAUACCCGUGUAGUCCCUGUCUCUUAUACA